rnacentral:rRNA from 1 species
GACGAACGCUGGCGGCAGGCCUAACACAUGCAAGUCGAGCGGACCUUUCGGGGUCAGCGGCGGACGGGUGAGUAACGCGUGGGAAUAUGCCCUUCUCUACGGAAUAGUCCUGGGAAACUGGGGGUAAUACCGUAUACGCCCUUUGGGGGAAAGAUUUAUCGGGGAAGGAUUAGCCCGCGUUGGAUUAGGUAGUUGGUGGGGUAAUGGCCUACCAAGCCGACGAUCCAUAGCUGGUUUGAGAGGAUGAUCAGCCACACUGGGACUGAGACACGGCCCAGACGACGGGGGGAGACGGCAGGGAGAAGCCGUGAGCAAGGGGUGCAACACUGUGGACGAGGGGCGGGGUGGGAGAGGGGGGCCGUCGGGUACAAAAGCUCGGCGGGCGGGAAAGAGAAUGAGGGAACCAGCAGAAGGAUCGCCUGCGAACUCCGGGCCAGCAGAAGAGGUAAUAGAUGACCAGCACACGCCUCAAC